UGUUAUUCAAAUGGUCAUGAUUUUAAAAUAUCAUCCAAAAUUCAAUGUUAUUUAAUAUGAAUCUUGCUUAAAAUAAUUCAAAAUAAUACAAUCCCUUAUUAUAUAUAAAACCCAUAUCAAUUCUAGUGUUAAUUCAAAUUUUCACUUUUAUGGUAGGAAGUAACAAAUAUGCAAUGCAAGUGAUUGAAAAAAGUUCUAUUAAUUGGUAAUGAACUCAUACACUAGCAAUGAUAUUUUGAACUUUAGACAACAACCUAAGAGUUUAACCACACAGUUGUGAAUUUGUAUAAGCGUAAGCACUUCGUUUAUGAAUUGCUUUACUUGGCUACACUCACUAAAACAAGUCUUCUUUAUGCCAACUAUGUAGUUUUUUUUUUAUAGACCACUCAUUGGCAAACCAUUAUAUUUAUUGUUCGUAAAGAUUUAAGGUUAGAAGUAGAAAAAAAUGAUGACAUUGAUGGAAUGAAACGUCACCUCUAAGUAUAGAGUAGAAGACAUGAUAAAAAGAGAGAAAAUAUUAAGUUUUCAUGGAUGAAAAAUAAAGUCUUUAGUAAUUAUAUGAUUAAGAAAUAGUAAAAUCAAAUUCACUAAACUCUUAA
rnacentral:sRNA from 1 species